rnacentral:sRNA from 1 species
UGGGAGGCUGUGACAGGAGGAUUGCUUGAGCCUGGGAGGAUGAGGCUGCAGUGAUCUGUAUUCACGCCACUGCACUCUAGCCUGGGUGACAAAGCGAGACCCUCUCUCAAAACAAAAACAAAAACUCCAAAGAUUUGAUUAUAGGGACCCCAUGGGUCCUCUUGGGUUACUGGGGUGCAUUAGGGUAUCUGUGGAUCCCCUUUACUUGCAGGCACAGUCUUGUCUACAGUUUCUGCAUACAUAUUUCACAUAUACUUUUUGGGGGGACAGUUUUGGGCUUCAUCCAAUUCUCAGGCAAAUUGGGUCCCAAAUGGGUUUUAACAACACUGAUCUAGGGUAAUGAUUUCCAAUAUUUUUGGAUCAUGGACCCCCAACAGUUGAAAAUUGAGCACACAGCUGUAUGUUUAUGUGUUCCAAAAUGCAAUUGUGUAUGACUGUAUGAAUAUUUCAGGCAUAUUAUAAAACAUAUAUAAGGAUAACUGUACACAUAAACCUGUCCUCUAUUGAAAUGUUUUGGGUAUGUGCUCUUUGAAGAACAUUGAUGAAGGUCUUACUAGGGUAAGAGUCUUUUUCUGAUGGAGCACGACACACACAUUGGUAUUCCCUGCCUUGGUACAAGUGGAAUACGGUUUUGCAGACACAGUGGGAGUGAGGAUCCUUUGUGGGAUUUUGCAAUACAAGGUUUCAAGCUGUGUUGUGCUGAGGUAUCAACAGUCUGUACAAGAGGGCCUGUGGAAAUAAGGAGGGACUUAGCCAAUUAAAUUCUUAAUAAAUUAUUAGCAGAUCUGAAAAUUAUUUGGUAUUUAGGACUUAAUACUGUUUACUGUAGAAGAUAAAAUGAAGCUGAUUUUAAUUCAGUUGAUGUUCUUUGAGGAAAUGGAGAGUAUUUUGAAUUAAAAAGAAAAUCCUUACUGAAUGGAAAUAAUCAGCACGCAGCACUACAUGGUAUCGAAACCUCAAUUACUGUUAUGAAUUUACUAAAUGAGUUAACUCUGAUUUUUCUCAUUGUUUAUUGAAAUCAGUUCUUAAAAAGGCUGAAUCUGAUUUCAUUGUAUUUCUAGGGUGAUAAAAGAAAAUGUGGCUGAAGUUACCCGAAGUUCAGCUUGCAGUGUAAUUCAGAAGAGUUAAGACCAGAAGUACUGGAAUCAUACUUCCUUUCAGGUCAAAACAUUUUGUGGGAAAUAUCCUGUUCGUGACCUAGGAGAAACAAGACAGAAAACAAAUCUUACUUCAUUUAUGAAUUUCUUACUCCAUACAAGCAGUUUAUGGAUGUCUGGGCAAUCAUAGCACUUGCCAUUUAAAAACAUGCUACAGGGGCACAUUUUCUGUGGUUAAAAAUGAUCUCCAGAAUAAGUGUAAACUGCAGUUUUCCUUUGCAUCGAGGGUUUUGGCUUUUUAUUUGUAAAUUAAAUCAAGAUGUUACCCACUCCUUGGUGUGGUGGUCUUGCUGGUUCGUGUUGGGAAGUAGUAUGGCAGCAACGCACAAAUUCAGAAUAGCCAAGAAAUCCCUCCUUUUCAACGCUCUGUGCCUGGGAACCAUUAGAGGGGUUUUAAAAACCAUCCCUCAUAGCCCACAAUUUUGGGUCAACUCUCAAAAUUGGGAAUAAGAAAACUGGCAUUGUUGGGAGAAAAAUCGUUCUUACUGAAGCAUGAACUGGCUCAGGCAAGCAAAUAGCGGGAGUCGGCACAGGAAGGUGUGCUGCGGGGAUGCGUGGUGGCGUCACCUUCAAAACUAAAGUGGUGCCAGGCGGACAGAUGAGUCCUUGAUCUUGUUUCCUGAUCUUGUUUCCAUUUGACUGAAUUCUGAACCUUCAUUGUCUUCACAGUCUUGCCACUUUCCUAGUGAGGCUUUUCCGAACCUGGAAGGAGACGUCUAGAAAUCCCAGCUUUGCUGUGUAAGGACCAUUAGCUGCAAGUCAGUGGAAGUCUAUAGAAAGCAGUGUGAAUUCCAUAGUGGUCUUGACUUAGCAAGGAUUUGGGAUAAGUCUAAAACUUCAGACUUAAAGCUUUGAAACAUGUUAACUGCAUGAAAUAGUAAACAUUUCGAACUUC